CAGAACCGGGUUUCUCCCCAACAGAACCGGGUCGUGGCCGUUUUGCUGACGCAGCAAAAAGCCUUUAAAAGACGUUUCAAAGUGAAAGUGACGGCAGAAACAGAUUCUCUUCUUCCUGUUCAAAUCUCAGCGGCUGAAAUAAGACAAACCAGCUAAAGGGAGGAGAAGAAAUGAGGCCGACUCUACAUUUCAUUCUGACGUUAAGUUUUCUGCCUUUUCUGGAAACUGCAAUUACAAAGUUUGAAGGACAAAAUGUCACCUUCCAACCAAACAUCCCUGGACCUCAGAUUAGUUCCUAUUACUGGACUUUUAUGCAAAAUAAUCAAACUGAGAAAAUAAUAGAUGUGACUGGAGAGAUCAAGAAAAUGAACAGAACCAGAUUUGAAGGUCGCCUGGAUACGGAUGUAAAAACUGGAUCAAUCACAAUUUCAAACCUCAAUCUUUGUGACA